ensembl:lncRNA
GAGGAGGUGCAGCAUGAGGUAAUACAGUAGGGGGAGUGCUGCUCAGUGUGAGGUAAUACAGUAGGGGGAGUGCUGCUCAGCGUGAGGUAAUACAGUAGGGGGAGUGCUGCUCAGCGUGAGGUAAUACAGUAGGGGGGAGGGCUUCUCAAAUGGAAUGUUUUAUGCGUACUCAAGAGAAUGUCCUCGGGAAAAUGCACUAGAAGCAUGAGAGUGUGGAACACGGUAAUAUGCAUAUUGAGAAACACCCAGUGACUCAGGGGAGCACGGUAAUAUGCAUAUUGAGAAACACCCAGUGACUCAGGGGAGCACGGUAAUAUGCAUAUUGAGAAACACCCAGUGACUCAGGGGAGCACGGUA